GCCAGGCGUGGUGGCGCACACCUGUAAUCCCAGAUACUAAGGAGUCUGAGGCAGGAGGAUCACUUGAGCCCAGGAGGCAGAGGUUGCAGUGAGCCAAGAUUGUGCCACUGUACUCCAGCCUGGGCAACAGAGUGAGACUCUGUCUCAA
rnacentral:SRP_RNA from 2 species